GAAUAUUGGACAAUGGGCGCAAGCCUGAUCCAGCCAUGCCGCGUGAGUGAUGAAGGCCUUAGGGUUGUAAAGCUCUUUCACCGGAGAAGAUAAUGACGGUAUCCGGAGCAGAAGCCCCGGCUAACUUCGUGCCAGCAGCCGCGGUAAUACGAAGGGGGCUAGCGUUGUUCGGAAUUACUGGGCGUAAAGCGCACGUAGGCGGAUUGGUCAGUUAGGGGUGAAAUCCCGGAGCUCAACUCCGGAACUGCCUUUAAUACUGCCAGUCUAGAGACCGAGAGAGGUAAGUGGAACUCCUAGUGUAGAGGUGGAAUUCGUAGAUAUUAGGAAGAACACCAGUGGCGAAGGCGGCUUACUGGCUCGGAACUGACGCUGAGGUGCGAAAGCGUGGGGAGCAAACAGG
rnacentral:rRNA from 1 species